UACGGAGGGUGCAAGCAUUAAUCGGAAUUAUUGGGCGUAAAGGGCGCGUAGGCGGAUAUGAAAGUCAGAUGUGAAAUUCCGGAGCUCAACUCCGGCACGGCAUUUGAAACUCCAUAUCUAGAGGACUGGCGGAGAAAACGGAAUUCCACGUGUAGCGGUGAAAUGCGUAGAUAUGUGGAAGAACACCAGUGGCGAAAGCGGUUUUCUAGCUUUUUCCUAACGCUGAGGCGCGAGAGCAAGGGGAG
rnacentral:rRNA from 1 species